GUUGUCCACAAAAAAUAACCGAUGAUGCUUCAAGUGAAUACAAAUGCAACCACAUCGAAGAAGUCAGCCACUUCGACUAAGAAAUCAACCACUUCCACUAAGAAGUUAACCACAU